AAUCUCCCUGUCUCACUCUAUCCCAGCCCAUCAGUACUUUGGCUGCACUUACCAGUCACUCAUGAGCACCUGCUGCACGGCCUCGUCCUGCGCCCAAGGACAGGCCUUUCCAGCCAUCCUCCUGUCUGCCCCGAGGCGGGGGAACAGCGGCAGCCAGGGCAGCGAGGGGUGCAGCCAGUAGACCAGGCUCUGCUGGAAGGCACAGCGCAGCUCCGUGCACAGCCGCGGCUCCUGCGGGUGCCACAGGCCGUGAGGGGCGCGGUGAAGCUGCCAUCCUGUUUUCCAUUCCCAAAUUUACAUUCCCAGUUCCCAUUCGAAUCCUCAUUCCCAUUAUCAUCCCCAUUCCCAGUUCCCAUCCCCAUUCACAGUUCCCAUUCCCCAUUCCUUAUUCCCAGUUCCAUUCCCAGUUCCCAUCCCCAUUCACAGUUCCCAUUCCCCAUUCCUUAUUCCCAGUUCCAUUCCCAGUUCCCAUCCCCAUUCACAGUUCCCAUUCCCCAUUCCUUAUUCCCAGUUCCAUUCCCAGUUCCCAUCCCCAUUCACAGUUCCCAUUCCCCAUUCCUUAUUCCCAGUUCCAUUCCCAGUUCCCAUCCCCAUUCACAGUUCCCAUUCCCCAUUCCUUAUUCCCAGUUCCUAUUCCCAGUUCCCAGUUCCCAUCCACAUCCCCUUUCCCAGUUUUCCAUUCCCAGUUCCUGUUCCCAGUUUUCCAUUCCCAGUUUUCCAUUCCCAGUUCCUGUUCCCAGUUUUCCAUUCCCAGUUCCUGUUCCCAGUUUUCCAUUCCCAGUUUUCCAUUCCCAGUUCCCGUUCCCAGUUUCCCAUUGCCGGCAAAGCUGCAGCCCCGGGCCCAGCCCUCACCUGCACGCUCCGGGGCAAGGUGGUUUCUGCAGCUCUGCAGUGCUGUGCAAAGCCCUGCGCCUCCUCCUGUGCUUUCAGGUGCUCUGCCCACGUGAAGGGUUGGGAGGACAUGAAGAGAACCCGGGUUUUAAUACUCCAGUCCGCAGGGAAUUCCUGUCUUGGCGAGGAGGGAGCUUUGGGAACAGCCAGAGGUGA
rnacentral:lncRNA from 1 species